CGGGGUGUAGCGCAGCCUGGUAGCGCGUUUGCUUCGGGAGCAAAAGGUCGCUGGUUCGAAUCCAGUCACCCCGACCA
rnacentral:tRNA from 2 species